rnacentral:rRNA from 1 species
ACACUCCUACGGGAGGCAGCAGUGGGGAAUUUUACGCAAUGGGGGAAACCCUGACGUAGCGACACCGCGUGAGCGAAGAAGCCCUUUGGGGUGUAAAGCUCUGUCAGCUGGAACGAAAACAAUGACGGUACCAGCAGAGGAAGCAUCGGCUAACUACGUGCCAGCAGCCGCGGUAAGACGUAGGAUGCGAGCGUUGUCCGGAUUUAUUGGGCGUAAAGAGUUCGUAGGUGGUUUGUUAAGUUUGGUGUUAAAGAUCGGGGCUCAACCCUGGGACUGCACUGAAUACUGGCAGACUCGAGUGUGGUAGAGGCUAGUGGAAUUCCCAGUGUAGCGGUGAAAUGCGUAGAUAUUGGGAAGAACACCGGUGGCGUAGGCGACUAGCUGGGCCAUAACUGACGCUGAGGAACGAAAGCCAGGGGAGCGAAUGGGAUUAGAAACCCCGGUAGUCCCAUGA